UCUGGCGGUUGUAGCGCGGUGGUCCCACCUGACCCCAUGCCGAACUCAGAAGUGAAACGCCGUAGCGCCGAUGGUAGUGUGGGGUCUCCCCAUGCGAGAGUAGGGAACUGCCAGAC
rnacentral:rRNA from 1 species